rnacentral:rRNA from 1 species
GACGCGGCGGACGGCUCAGGACAACGGUUGCACCCCCCGCGGCGGUCCCUGCUAGCCGGACACCGCUGGCAACCCGGCGCCAAGACGUGCGCGCAAGGGCGGGCGCCCGCGGGCGAGCAGCGUGACGCAGCGACGGCCCGCCCGGGCUUCCGGGGCAUCACCCGGUCGGCGCGGUCGCGGCGCGCCGAGGGCCCGACGCCUGG